rnacentral:rRNA from 1 species
AUUGAACGCUGGCGGCAGGCCUAACACAUGCAAGUCGAACGAGUGGCGGACGGGUGAGUAAUGUCUGGGACCCUGCCUGCUGGAGGGGGAUAACUACUGGAACCGGUAGCUAAUACCGCAUACCAUCGGAUGUGCCCAGAUGGGAUUAGCUAGUAGGUGGGGUAAAGGCUCACCUAGGGGACGAUCCCUAGCUGGUCUGAGAGGAUGAACAGCGACACGCGACAUUAGACACGGUCCAGACGCCUACGGGAGGCAGCAGUGGGGAAUAUUGCACAAUGGGCGCAAGCCGGAUGCAUCCAUGCCGCGUGUAGGAAGAAGGCUUUCGGGUUGUAAAGUACUUUCAGCGGGGAGGCGUUACCCGCAGAAGAAGCACCGGCUAACUCCGUGCCAGCCGCCGCGGUAAUAC